rfam:Stegodyphus mimosarum contig29271, whole genome shotgun sequence.
CAAAAGGUUCUUUUCAGAACCAAUUUUUUUUUCUUUUUAAUUUUCU